GGGUUCUAUAGAGGAAAUGUUAAGUCAUGGCCUGAACCAGUGAUUGAGCACCUGGUGGGAAGGCAGGGCCAAUCCAGGGAGUUCAGGUGCAUGCAAUGUACCUGAGUGACUGGAAGUGGUGGAGUCAGGAUCCAUGCCUUCCCAGACCUCAUUUAAGGGCUGGCAGUGGAGGAGAAGGUAUCUUGCUUGAGAUUCCUGUGUCCCUGAGGCCUUCUGAAGGGAACCUCGUGUUUCAAGCCUUAUGUUACACAACUGCAAUAGGACUUGAGCUACUCUUAAACAAGAGUAAACAUCUAGUUUACGAGAUCCUGAAAUCUCCUUUGCUAGCAAACAUGUCUUGGCAGCAUCAAGACAGAUAGAGGCCAAGAGAUUAUCAUUUAAGAUGGAACAGUUUAGAAAGAUCGAUUGGGAAAAUGUGCUUGAGGCAUCCGUCAACUUCAGUCUUGCCAUCAGCUGGAGAAGUCAACUGUAUGGUGUUUCCUUGAAUAAAUUUGCUGGUGUGACUGAAUUCACAAAACACUGACUGAGUCGGAAUGAACUGCUUUUCUUGCUCCAAAAAUAAUAACUUACUACAGGAAAUGCAUUUGUGAGCUUUACCUGGUAAGAACACCAAAUCAAGCUUUACUAUAUCAUUUUUUAGCAGAAUGGAAAUGCACUGAGAGCAAUUGUUUGUGCAAGUCUGUACGUGAAUGAGAAGAGUAACAGAUUGCUGUUGCAGUGUUCAAGAAGGUAACAUGGAUUACUGCAGUCAAAUUUCCAGAACAUUGAAUUUCUAUGUAGAUAGCUGUGUCAGUGACCUAGAGGUCCUGACUGAAGAAUGAUCCUGUGUUGGAGCAAAGCUUUCUGACAAAAUAACUGAUGGCUUCAUGACAAGAACUGUGGACCACAUGAAAGUUCUGAGGAAAACAGGACUUGCAGCUGGAGCUGCUUCUCUUGUUUCAGUAGGAAGCUGGCUUUACUAGUUUGUUUUGCAAAGAACUUUUUUCCUGCAAGCAGGUGUUCCUCGUGGGCUGCACAUCAAGCACUGGCCCCACAGAUGCAGUAUGCAAGUGAAAAGAACCCUGAAGAGAAUAAAAACAGGAGGGAGCUGUGGCAGAUUUGUGAGAAAGGAAGCACACCUUGAAACAGGGGAUGCCCUGGUGACAAUUCUUGCCAAAUGCACUGCGUGUUUUUUGUCCUACUCUGCCUUUUGUCCCUCUCUCAAGAAUUAGCAAGUAAUAUUGCAUUUUGCUUAAUGAGUCUUCUGCUGACCUAAUUGAGGUAACUGAAAUUAUCUGGAAUAGAUGCCUAUGUGUGUAUUCAAUAAAUUUUGUAAUCCUUUGUGCCUCUGAGUUUGUAACUUGCUUGCUUCCGCUCCUGAGGCAUCCUAUCUCUCAGAUUUAUAUAUACCCUGAAUCAGUGGCUUACCUUGACCUUUUUUUUAUCCUGUUUCCUAAUGACCUAAGAAAACUUAGUGUUUCCAAGUAUCCAUAGUAAACACAAACCUAGAUGCAUGCUGCAGAAGCAUUUCACCCACCCAACUGCACAUCAGAAGAUGUCUGAGAAGAAACCACAUACUUCUGUCAGGCAAAAGGAGUUACUACACUUGGUGACCUCUUGUAAGAAGUCAUUCUUUUACGCUAUUGCCUCAAAGCUUGAGGAGGGACACAG
ensembl:lncRNA